AACGAACGCUGGCGGCAGGCUUAACACAUGCAAGUCGAGCGCCCCGCAAGGGGAGCGGCAGACGGGUGAGUAACGCGUGGGAAUCUACCCAUCUCUACGGAAUAACGCAUGGAAACGUGUGCUAAUACCGUAUACGUCCUUCGGGAGAAAGAUUUAUCGGAGAUGGAUGAGCCCGCGUUGGAUAGCUAGUUGGUGGGGUAAAGGCCUACCAAGGCGACGAUCCAUAGCUGGUCUGAGAGGAUGAUCAGCCACACUGGGGCUGAGACACGGCCCAGACUCCUACGGGAGGCAGCAGUGGGGAAUAUUGGACAAUGGGCGCAAGCCUGAUCCAGCCAUGCCGCGUGAGUGAUGAAGGCCCUAGGGUUGUAAAGCUCUUUCACCGGUGAAGAUAAUGACGGUAACCGGAGAAGAAGCCCCGGCUAACUUCGUGCCAGCCGCCGCCGUAAAAC
rnacentral:rRNA from 1 species